rnacentral:misc_RNA from 1 species
CCCUUAAUGAUGAAAUCCUCUCUUUCUCUCUUUAAAUAGAAAAAAAUUGUCAUUAAUUGGAAUAAGAAGGAUGUCCUCAUCAAACUUCUCUUCUAAGGCCAAUGCUCCACUCAAGCACUCAUCACUUGGUUCUUAUGGUCAAGUCAGAUAUGCCUUUUUAACAAACUAUUGUUAGGAGUACCCACACCACCAAUGGGUGCUAUGAUUGGGGCGGGUCCACCUGAUUAUGUCUGUUCCCCAAGCAACUGAUUAUAACCAACCUCUCCUCCCCUCAAAAAGAAC